rnacentral:rRNA from 1 species
UACGUAGGGUGCGAGCGUUAAUCGGAAUUACUGGGCGUAAAGCGUGCGCAGGCGGUAAUGUAAGACAGAUGUGAAAUCCCCGGGCUUAACCUGGGACCUGCAUUUGUGACUGCAUUGCUGGAGUGCGGCAGAGGGGGAUGGAAUUCCGCGUGUAGCAGUGAAAUGCGUAGAUAUGCGGAGGAACACCGAUGGCGAAGGCAGCCCCCUGGGUUAACACUGACGCUCAUGCACGAAAGCGUGGGGAGCAAACAGG